rnacentral:rRNA from 1 species
CACGUAGGGCGCAAGCGUUGUCCGGAAUUAUUGGGCGUAAAGAGCUCGUAGGCGGUCUGUUGCGUCCGCUGUGAAAACUCGGGGCUUAACCCCGAGCCUGCAGUGGAUACGGGCAGACUAGAGGUAGGUAGGGGAGAAUGGAAUUCCCGGUGUAGCGGUGAAAUGCGCAGAUAUCAGGAAGAACACCCGUGGCGAAGGCGGCUCUCUGGGACGGUACUGACGCUGAGGAGCGAAAGCCAGGGGAGCAAACGGG